UCAAGCACGGGUUUGUGCCAGGGCAUUAAUUCUAGUUCCAUUGCCUGCUCUGUCCGAGGUUGCAGCCAAGAUCAGGCGAGAUGACAAUGUCAUCCUUUUUCAGUCUUUCUUUCGAUCGCUCGCCGUUUCGUUAGAAAAUCUUACAAAAUUCAGUCAACUCGUUUGGAGCUGUUUCACGCAGGACUACUAGAUUUUGGUUAUCAAGUAACAGUAUCAGCAAAAGAAAAAUGACAGCAUCAUGUUUUUAUCAGUAACCGGAUGACACAUGGGACCAUAGCGUAAGGAGGACCACAAGGCAGCGGUUGUGUGCGUGACUGCGUGCACAUGACCGGUCGUGUUCGUUCGUAGCUCCUCUGCUCCCAAUGUUAUAUCUACCGCGUACGGAGAGGGAAGAGCCGUCGAGUGGAUCUCGUGGAGGGGGCCUCUGCUGGCCGCCGGCCGCCGGCCCCCGGCCUCCUCCCUGGUCCGGUAAGUCCUGUCGACCACCGGCGACCUGCUCGCUGCUGAGUGUGUGCAGCGGCCCGAAGAGGCACGUCCAGCCCGGAUCUCGCAAGACAGCGAUAUCAGGUACAUGGGCAUGAGAUGAGAAUCACAAUUGUUGUGGAGGAAGCGAAGAAUGUCUUGUUACUUGGUUGUUGCCAUCCAUGUUCUUUUGGGUUGCACAAUGCAAUAAGCGUUUCUCUCCGCAACGAAUAUAUUAGAUCGAGCAUCAUGUCAUGUACACCAUAAGCUUUUGAUGUCUUCAUAGUCGAUGUCUACCAGUUCGAUCAUGCUUCUAUUUAUCAACUCAUUGAAGUAACCUUCUCCUAGCUCAAAUGGGACAAUUUUCUCGUUUACAUGAUACAUAAAACAUUCAGAUAUCCAUCUCCAUAUGAACUAGUCUCUCUUAAUUUUGUAAUCUUCUGGAUAUAUGCUUGCAUAUAAUAAAUGAUGUGAAGGUAGAGCAUAGAACAAUAACAUAAUCUUUAGUCUCAAGCAAGGUGGAGUAGACUAGAGAUAGAAUGCAAGAUGUGUCACAUACACAACAACAACAUGGAAAGUAGCAAAAAAUGGUAAAUGGAGCUCCUGACUUGUAGAUUAUGUCAAAGGGAUGAUCUAGAGUCAAGCUUCUUUUACUACCAGUUUUGAUCUACCUUAUCAUCUAGAAGAUUAGUUAUUAUAUCUAAGUAUGUUUUUAGAAGAUUAGAAGAUUAAGCAAAGUCACUUGAUAUGUAAAUGGAUAGCUGAAUGUUUUUUUAUCAUGAAAACAAGAGAUUAGCUUAUUUGAGAUCGGUGAUAGAGUUUCUCAAUGAGACCAUAAAUAGAAACAUGAUUGAACCAACAGACAUCAAUGUGACAAAGGCAUGAAAAAAAAAAUCUUAUCGUAUACAUGAUAUGGUGAUUGAUCCCAUAUGUUUUUGCCAAGUGAAGAAAACCGCUUGUAUGGCAUUCGGUGAAAGCCAUCUAUCCAAAGGCAAGAAUUGAAGAUGAUCCGUCCGAAAAAGCACGACAAAUAUGACCACCAUCAGAAAGAGCAACUAUUUCACAAGUGAGCUCUCUUUGCAAUAUUCAUGUGCUAUUGUCGAUUCAGUAUUGCUUAUGCUGAGUUUUCAUGUUCUACAUAUGUUAGAUUUAGAAUAUUGUGUUGCAUGCUUCCAUUCUUUCCAAUUGAGAUGGUGAGAUUCAAGAACAGUGCAUUUACCAUGGUGUUUUUAUUUGUCUUCUGCAACGACAUGAAGCUCUCAGUGUGGUUGUACCCUUUUAUGCAUGAAUACUAUUAUCACUUUUGUGAGAUUCAAUAACCACCAAGUUUUUGUACCGCC